rnacentral:rRNA from 1 species
AAAAGCUAACAUGACAGAAGGAGAUAUAGUGCGUGAGUUUAAACUACUAGUAAAGGUAGAAAUUGAAUCACGCCGCCUAGUGGCUAUUAAUAGACAAGACCUAGAGCUUAGCAAAGAGUUCUUAAAACUCUUUGGGCACGACCCACGCGAAAAAGCUAUAUCUAACUUCCUACAAGUUAUAGAUAAUGUCUAACAAUAAAUAAUAAUACUCUCCUGCUGCCAGCGGCGUAGGUACAUGUAUAAUUAGGGCUGCAAACGCUUCCUAGAAACUUUGACUUAAUACUGCAAUAAAUUUUGAACUAAAACUUGACCUAUUAAGGUAAACAUGGUAAUAAAGAGAAAGGGGUCCUGUGGUCGCGCGCAGGUGUGAAGUCUUACAAUAUCUCGUCGAUAGAACCCCGCUUACUCUUAAAAAUGAUAAAUUUAAAGACGAUUAGAUACCGUCGUAGUCUUAACUAUAAACUAUGCCGACUAGGGAUUGGGCGAUGUUCUUUUUCUAACUCGCUCGGCACCUUACAAGAAAUCAAAGUUUUUGGGUUCUGGGGGGAGUAUAGUCGCAAGGCUGAAACUUAAAGAAAUUGACGGAAGGGCACUACUAGGCGUAGAGCCUGCGGCUUAAUUUGACUUAACACGGGGAAACUUACUAGGUCUAGAUAAAAUAAGGAUUGACAGAUUAAGAGCUCUUUCUUAAUUUUUCAGGUGGUGGUGCAUGGCCGUUCUUAGUUAGUAGAGUGAUUUGUCUGCUUAAUUGCGAUAACGAACAAGACCUUAACCUGCUAAAUAGCUAGGCUAGCUUUGGCUAGUCGCCGGCUUCUUAGAGGGACUAUCGGCUUAAGCUAAUAGAAGUUUAAGGCAAUAACAGGUCUGUAAUGCCCUUAGAUGUUCUAGGCCACACGCGCGCUACACUGACAGAGCCAACGAGUUCUUUACCUUAACCAAAAGGUCUAGGUAAUCUUGUUAAACUCUGUUGUGCUAGGGAUAGAGCAUUGCAAUUAUUGCUCUUUAACGAGGAAUGCCUAGUAAGCGCGUGUUAUUAGCAUGCGUUAAUUACGUCCCUGCCCUUUGUACACACCGCCCGUCGCUACUACCAAUUGAAUAGCUUAGUGAGGCCUUCGGACUGGCUUAGGGAGGUUAGCAACGACUACCCUAAGCUGGAAAGUUCGUCAAACUCGGUUAUUUAGAGGAAGUAAAAGUUGUAACAAGGUUUCUGUAGGUGAACCUGCGGAAG